GUGGGAGCGAGCCCUGCUCGCGAUAGCGGUUUGUCAGUCAGCAUUUUUAUUUACUGAUGCACCGCUAUCGCGAGCAGGGCUCGCUCCCAC
rnacentral:misc_RNA from 1 species